GGUUCGAACUCAAAAAAAAAAAGAAAAUGUUAUGUGCUAAGGGGUUCGAAGUCAAAAUAUUUUUUGGUGUUUGAACUCAAGACAUACACUUGAAAAUCACUGUUGUCCACCAACACGGCUACGUCGCCACAUGUGAUAUUUAUAACGUCUAUAAUAAUAUAUAAUCAAUCAUCUUGUUUUAAUGAUUUUUUGUAGGAAUUAUCCCACAUCUAAGGAUAAGUGUUGCUUGUUUUCCUAUAGAUUCAUGUAGCGAAGACACUCCAUUGCGCGUAUAGAAAAAGAGAGGGAAGCAAACCUGAUGUGAGUUUACACGUGUAGCCACAUGUCACUCGUAAGUUGGCCACAUGUCAGUGCCGUGAGGCCGAGGGAAGCAGGCAUUGGUUAAGCAUCACGUAAUAGCCACGAAAAUAAGAAAGCGAGCCUAAUGUAAACUUAGCGUUGACAAUGAUUCGCAAGGCUCGGUUUGGCUGAAAAACCAGUUGGGUCAUGGGCCAAGGGCCUAUGGGUUGCACACCGGUGCCUGGGCUUGGGGCCCGGAUGAACGGCCACUCGGCCUAGGGCCACAACCAUGUUAGCCCAACCUUGUAUUUUCUUUUUUUUUUCUUUUUUUUUUUUUAUUUAAAAUAUCUAUUCAGUUAGGGGCCCUUUGGCCCAUCUGAUCCGGCCAGCCUAACAAACAAACCCAGUCGCCAACCUUAGUCAAACAUGACGUGACAAAGGACAAUGUUAGAGGAGUCAUGUCUAUAAGCCGUGGUGUAUGGAAGUCAUAAUGAAGAUAAUAAAGCAUGGUCACUAAAGAAUCCUACUGGGAUAGGAGGGUAAUAUCUAAGGAGGGUUUGGAAAUAGUUUUGAGCAAAGUUUCAAGCCAUCUUAUCAUUGAUAUAAGGGUGUCAGGCCCAUAGUUAGGAAAUUGGCUAUUAAUCGUCGAUUUUUUUUAAAAAUCGGAAUUUUUUAAAAAACGUUAAAAAGAGCUUUUUUUAAAAAAAUUUCAUUAAAAAAACUUGUUUUUUCCUAAUAACGUUAAAACACGUUUUUUUGGAGAACGAAUUAAACGGGCCUAAAAAAACAUAUUUUUGCUUGUGUUUUUUUUUAAAAGAGAAACAAAUUUUUUCUUGCUAUGUGUAAUUUAAAAAAAAAAAACAAUAUUAUUUCCAAAAAAAAAAAAUCCUAAAAUGAAAAUUUUUAUCCCCAAUUGAUUUAUGUAGUGUUAGGGUUUAUUGUCUUAGGGUUAUGCUAAAAUCACGUUCCUCUUCUUCAAAACCUCAUUUACAGAUUGAAGGAAAGAAGAUACAAUGGUUAGGUCAAAAGAUCCAUUUUGGGAUUAUUGUGAAGAAAGAAGACAUAAAUUGUAUUGCAAUUUUUGCGGUGAAGGAUUUUCCGUCGGGAUAACAAGAUUUAAAUAUCACUUGUCAAGAGAACAAGAGAAUGAUAUAAAAGUUGGUCCUCAAGUACCAGAUGAUGUACAAGCUAUAGCUGUUUCUGUGACACACGAGGAGUUGGUGCGAAGCAUGCGAAGAAAGCAUUCCACUGGUUCGAAUGGUUGCCAUUAAGAUUUUGAGCUAACCAUGUAGCUCAUCAGCGUGCGAAAGAAAUUGGAGUGCUUUUGAGGCGACUCAAACCAAAAAAGAGAACAGAUUGGCACUAACUAUGUUAACCGACUUGGUUUACAAACGAGUGAACUCGAAGAUGAUGGCUGCAUCACGUGAAAAUGAAAUUCGAGAUUGUAAUGCAAUUAAUCUAGAACAACUUGGUUCAUUGUCGGAAGAGGUUUCCGAAGAGGUGGAACAUGAGGAUACCUCUCCGGAUAAUGAUGGUGAUGAUGCAUGGCUACAUGACUUGGGCAUUACACAUUCCCAAACUCCUAACUUUUCUUUUGACUCUACCCUACCUUAUGCUUAAUUUUGAAUAUUUCUAGUUAAUUAUGUUUUGAAUAUGGGAUAACUGGAUGAGAGUCAUGAGUCAUCUAAAUUAAUAGACUUAAUUAUAUCAGUCUAGUAAAGUUUUUAUGAAUGGAUUAGUUAUUGAUGGCUUUGACA